UACGUAGGGGGCUAGCGUUGUCCGGAUUUAUUGGGCGUAAAGAGCGUGUAGGCGGCCAGGUAGGUCUGCUGUGAAAACUCGAGGCUCAACCUCGAGACGUCGGCGGAAACCAUCUGGCUAGAGUCCGGAAGAGGAGAGUGGAAUUCCUGGUGUAGCGGUGAAAUGCGCAGAUAUCUGGAGGAACACCGGUGGCGAAGGCGGCAUCCUGGACCGGCAUUGACGCUGAGGCGCGAAAGCCAGGGGAGCAAAGCGGG
rnacentral:rRNA from 1 species